AUUGAACGCUGGCGGCAGGCCUAACACAUGCAAGUCGAACGGUAACAGGAAGAAGCUUGCUUCUUUGCUGACGAGUGGCGGACGGGUGAGUAAUGUCUGGGAAACUGCCUGAUGGAGGGGGAUAACUACUGGAAACGGUAGCUAAUACCGCAUAACGUCGCAAGACCAAAGAGGGGGACCUUCGGGCCUCUUGCCAUCGGAUGUGCCCAGAUGGGAUUAGCUAGUAGGUGGGGUAACGGCUCACCUAGGCGACGAUCCCUAGCUGGUCUGAGAGGAUGACCAGCCACACUGGAACUGAGACACGGUCCAGACUCCUACGGGAGGCAGCAGUGGGGAAUAUUGCACAAUGGGCGCAAGCCUGAUGCCGCCAUGCCGCGUGUAUGAAGAAGGCCUUCGGGUUGUAAAGUACUUUCAGCGGGGAGGAAGGGAGUAAAGUUAAUACCUUUGCUCAUUGACGUUACCCGCAGAAGAAGCACCGGCUAACUCCGUG
rnacentral:rRNA from 1 species